rnacentral:rRNA from 1 species
GACGAACGCUGGCGGCGUGCUUAACACAUGCAAGUCGAACGGAAAGGCCCUGCUUUUGUGGGGUGCUCGAGUGGCGAACGGGUGAGUAACACGUGAGUAACCUGCCCUUGACUUUGGGAUAACUUCAGGAAACUGGGGCUAAUACCGGAUAGGAGCUCCUGCUGCAUGGUGGGGGUUGGAAAGUUUCGGCGGUUGGGGAUGGACUCGCGGCUUAUCAGCUUGUUGGUGGGGUAGUGGCUUACCAAGGCUUUGACGGGUAGCCGGCCUGAGAGGGUGACAGGCCACAUUGGGACUGAGAUACGGCCCAGACGCCUACGGGAGGCAGCAGUGGGGAAUAUUGCACAAUGGGCGGAAGCCUGAUGCAGCAACGCCGCGUGCGGGAUGACGGCCUUCGGGUUGUAAACCGCUUACGCCUGUGACGAAGCGUGAGUGACGGUAAUGGGUAAAGAAGCACCGGCUAACUACGUG